GGCCUGGUGGUCUAGUAGUAUGAUUCCUUCUUAGGGCACUUGCAAUCUGGAGGAGGUCCCGGGUUCAAUUCCCGGCCAGGCCC